rnacentral:lncRNA from 1 species
UCUCUUGUUCUGAAUGAUUCAUAUAACUUCUAGUAAUCACUGCACUCUCUUACCAAAAGCACGAAUUAUUUUCGAAUAGUAGUCCCAAUCCGGAUGAGAAGAUGUUAUAGCCGGAUCCCCAAUCGGGUGAGCUUUCACAUAACUCUGAACAUCUUUAGCCUCUGCAAGCCCCUCCAAGAACACCCAGAGUGUUACGGGAUUUAGAAGGGCCUUCACGGGAUAGGUGAUCAAUAAAGUGUUAGAUGCAGAGUAUUCUCCUUCGGACCAUGGAC